CAUGGCUUGAAGUACUGACUGCACUGAGGGUGAUUAGUUAGUUUGGUUGGGAACUUCGUCUCAGUUGUAAAAAGAUUAAGUAACAAUUUGCAGCAGCCAAUCGAUUUCUCUGUUGCAUGCAAGACAAGUUGAAGAGAGAUCCUGAAAUAACACAAAAUUAGGGCUGUCAGUUUGUAAAUGAUGUUACCUUGAAUGGCGUGUUGGAACAUCAGAGAUUUUCCUUCUGUUGGAGAGUAUACAGAGAAAUAGUCAGAGAAUUGAUUUGGUUUGGUACUUUUCGGAGAAGGGUUUUGAUUAAGCCAUUCAGCUCAGUUUAGUGGGUCAUCCUGUACUUUCCAGAUCUGGUUCAAUCUCUCGUAAAAAUUAAAAAAUCAAGUAAGCUUAAUUUUUUAAGUGAUACAGACAGUGCCUGAUUCACAACGGUACCAUUGAAACCAUUAUUUGAUCAAUAUUGUUCUAAAUGGUUUGCUGCAGAAGAAAUAAGCUUAUCACUUUUGCCAAAAAAAACACAUUUAAAAAAAUCAGUUUUCAAAUUUAAAAACAUAGAUAUCUAAUUCAUAAUUUUCCAGGCAGGGUCAUUUGAAAUUACGCUUACAGUCUCUUUAGGUUAAUACAAGGCAUCUUUUUGCACUAUUGUUUGCAUAGUUUGUGAUUUUAUUUGCUAAUAUUUCUGAGCACGCUGAAAGGAUGGGCAGAGGUUUUGCAUCAAAAUAAAUAAACAACACAGUCUUAAAAAUGUUUAUUUAAGCCCGUAGGAAAACAAACAAAACCUUUUUAGUAGAACAUUAUAUUUUCUAACAAUUUAAACACAUAAAUACGUUGAAACUUUGAAUGAGAACAAAUUUGCAGAAAAAAAACAUUCUUUAACUGCGAACAAGGAAAUAAUUUAAUUUGCGCGGAAUUACAUGCAUGCAGGCAGCAGGAUGGAAAUUGUAUUUCCAUCCAAAAAUCAAGAAAUUGAAAUUCAGACAUCAAAAGGAAUUGAGUCUUUGCCUCAGACUAAAAAUGUCGCACCCUUUUUCCUUCGCAACCUAAUAUUUCAAACUUAGACUAUUUGAUCUUACAAAAUUCAUUAUUUGAAAUUUAUAACAAUAAUUUUAGAUAUAUUGUUUACUACCCCAGAAUUAUGAAAAUUAAAAAAAAACACGGAUUAAUUUUGGAAAGGUCAUCCCCCCCGCCCCGCCCCCCCCCCCCGUACCGGCAACUCCAUCCACCUACUGUAGAUAAAUAUAGGUUUACACGACGUGCUGGUACAGUUGGGGUUCUAAGGUAUAGGUGGGGGGGGGGGAGUGGGGACAGGUAUAAACAAAAG